rnacentral:rRNA from 1 species
UGGGGAAUUUUGGACAAUGGGGGAAACCCUGAUCCAGCCAUCCCGCGUGUGCGAUGAAGGCCUUCGGGUUGUAAAGCACUUUUGGCAGGAAAGAAACGUCAUGGGUUAAUACGCCGUGAAACUGACGGUACCUGCAGAAUAAGCACCGGCUAACUACGUGCUAGCAGCCGCGGUAAUACGUAGGGUGCAAGCGUUAAUCGGAAUUACUGGGCGUAAAGCGUGCGCAGGCGGUUCGGAAAGAAAGAUGUGAAAUCCCAGAGCUCAACUUUGGAACUGCAUUUUUAACUACCGGGCUAGAGUGUGUCAGAGGGAGGUGGAAUUCCGCGUGUAGCAGUGAAAUGCGUAGAUAUGCGGAGGAACACCGAUGGCGAAGGCAGCCUCCUGGGAUAACACUGACGCUCAUGCACGAAAGCGUGGGGAGCAAACAGG